GCCGGGAUGGCAGAGUGGAUAAUGCGCAGGCCUUGAGAGCCUGUGAACCCUCGUGGUUCGCAUGGGUUCGAAUCCCAUUCCCGGCG
rnacentral:tRNA from 1 species